AUUGAACGCUGGCGGCAUGCCUUACACAUGCAAGUCGAACGGUAACAGGUCUUCGGAUGCUGACGAGUGGCGAACGGGUGAGUAAUACAUCGGAACGUGCCUAGUAGUGGGGGAUAACUACUCGAAAGAGUGGCUAAUACCGCAUGAGAUCUACGGAUGAAAGCAGGGGAUCGCAAGACCUUGUGCUACUAGAGCGGCCGAUGGCAGAUUAGGUAGUUUGUGGGAUAAAAGCUUACCAAGCCGACGAUCUGUAGCUGGUCUGAGAGGACGAUCGGCAAAACUGGGACUGGGACACGGCCCAGAAUCCUACGGGGGGCAGCAGUGGGGAAUUUUGGACAAUGGGCGCAAGCCUGAUCCAGCAAUGCCGGGCGCAGGAUGAGGGCCUUCGGGUUGUAAGCUGCUUUUGUACGGAACGAAAAGCCUUGGGUUAAUACCCUGGGGUCAUGACGGUACCGUAAGAAUAAGCACCGGCUAACUACGUGCCAGCCGCCGCGGUAA
rnacentral:rRNA from 1 species